rnacentral:rRNA from 1 species
UACGUAGGGACCAAGCGUUGUUCGGAUUUACUGGGCGUAAAGGGCGCGUAGGCGGCCCCGCAAGUCACUUGUGAAAUCUCCGGGCUUAACUCGGAACUGCCAAGUGAAACUGCAGGGCUAGAGUGCGGAAGGGGCAAUCGGAAUUCUUGGUGUAGCGGUGAAAUGCGUAGAUAUCAAGAGGAACACCUGAGGUGAAGACGGGUUGCUGGGCCGACACUGACGCUGAGUGCGCGAAAGCCAGGGGAGCAAACGGG